UGAUGCAUAAAGAGAUGAGAAAGAUUUAAUA
rnacentral:piRNA from 1 species